rnacentral:rRNA from 1 species
CUCCUCGAGAGGUAUUAGUGCUGUAGGGAAGCCGAAGAGUGUGCUACCUGGGAAGUAUAGUCGCAAGGCCGAAACUUAAAGGAAUUGGCGGGGAGACACUACGACGGGUGACGCGUGCGGUUCAAUUAGAUUAUACACCGUGAACCUUACCAGGAGCGACAGCAGAAUGAAGGUCAGCCUGAAGGGCUUACCUGACACGCUGAGCAGAGUUGCAUGGCCGACGUCAGCCUGUGCCGUGAGGUGACCUGUUAAAUCAGGUAACAGGCAAGACCCACAUACAUAUUUGGUUAAGACUAUAUGUAGAUUGCCCGGGUAACCGGGGUGAAAGUGUGGGCUACGUUAGGUGGGUACAGCCUUAAUCCCCUGGGAUACACGCGCGUGUCAACGGCAGAUACAAUGGGAUGCAACUCCGAAAGGAGAAGCCAAUCUCUUAAAGUCUGUCUCAGUCCAGAUCGAGGUUUGUAACUCAGCCUCGUGACGCUGGAAUCCGUAGUAAUCGGGUAUUAUCAGUGCCCGGUGAAUACGUCACUGUCUCUUGCACACACUGCCCGUCAAACCAACCAAGUUUAUUUAGGAUGAAACUUUUCGAAGGAGAAUCUUGGGUAAGUGAGGUAGGUUAAGUCGUAACAAGGUAGCC